rnacentral:rRNA from 1 species
AUACGGAGGGUGCAAGCGUUGUUCGGAAUUACUGGGCGUAAAGCGCGCGUAGGCGGUCUGUUAUGUCAGAUGUGAAAGUCCUCGGCUCAACCGGGGAAGUGCAUUUGAAACUGGCAGACUUGAGUACUGGAGGGGGUGGUGGAAUUCCCGGUGUAGAGGUGAAAUUCGUAGAUAUCGGGAGGAAUACCGGUGGCGAAGGCGACCACCUGGCCAGAUACUGACGCUGAGGUGCGAAAGCGUGCGGAGCAAACAGGAUUAGAAACCCCAGUAGUCC